GACGAACGCUGGCGGCAUGCCUAACACAUGCAAGUCGAACGAGAAAGUCGGGUGUAGGGGCGAACGGGUAGGGAAGGCGAGGGGACCGGCCCGUGGGUUCGGAAUGACUCUCCGCAGGGGGCGAUAAUACGGGACAAUGUCUUAGGACCAAUGAGUAAUUGCCAUUGGAUGGGCCCGCGUGGAAUUAGCUAGUUGGUAGGGUAAAGGCCUACCAAGGCGAUGAUCCAUAGCUGGUCUGAGAGGAUGCUCAGCAACACUGGGACUGCGACGCGACCCAGACUCCGACGGGGGGCAGCAGUGGGGAAUAGCGGACCAUGGGCGGUAGCCUGGUCCAGCGAUUCCGCGUGAGUGAUUAAGGCCUUAGGGUUGUAAAGCUCUUUUACCCGGGAUGAUGAGAACGGUACCGGGAAAAUAAGCACCGGCUAACUCCGU
rnacentral:rRNA from 1 species